UAGGGAAUCUUCCACAAUGGACGCAAGUCUGAUGGAGCAACGCCGCGUGAGUGAAGAAGGUCUUCGGAUCGUAAAGCUCUGUUGUUGGUGAAGAAGGAUAGAGGCAGUAACUGGUCUUUAUUUGACGGUAAUCAACCAGAAAGUCACGGCUAACUACGUGCCAGCAGCCGCGGUAAUACGUAGGUGGCAAGCGUUGUCCGGAUUUAUUGGGCGUAAAGCGAGCGUAGGCGGAAUGAUAAGUCUGAUGUGAAAGCCCACGGCUCAACCGUGGAACUGCAUCGGAAACUGUCAUUCUUGAGUGCAGAAGAGGAGAGUGGAACUCCAUGUGUAGCGGUGGAAUGCGUAGAUAUAUGGAAGAACACCAGUGGCGAAGGCGGCUCUCUGGUCUGCAACUGACGCUGAGGCUCGAAAGCAUGGGUAGCGAACAGGAUUAGAUACCCUGGUAGUCCAUGCCGUAAACGAUGAGCGCUAGGUGUUGGGGACUUUCCGGUCCUCAGUGCCGCAGCAAACGCAUUAAGCGCUCCGCCUGGGGAGUACGACCGCAAGGUUGAAAC
rnacentral:rRNA from 1 species